GGCUCGUUGGUCAAGUGGUUAAGACGCCGCCCUCUCAAGGCGGAAUCACGAGUUCAAUUCUCGUACGAGCUG
rnacentral:tRNA from 2 species